GGGCAUUUAGUUUGGUUAAUUUAAAAUGCAUACCUUCUAAGUAUGAGAUGGGGAUUGUAGUUCUCUGGUGCUCA
rnacentral:tRNA from 1 species